CUGCACUGCGACAUUGAAGCCAUCUGAAUUGGCAUGCUGUGUUUUAUUUACAAUUUUAGAACCUGCUUGUAGCUGAUUGAAAUAUGCAAAGAAUUGGGUCUUCCUCCGGGUCUAUAAAAUACUCUAGGCCAUGGCGCUGGUGCUCCUUUAGCAUCCCAUCCCGAUGUUGGCAAGAUUCAAUUGUUUUUUGCUUUUAAUACAUUUGAAGUUACACAGGGUCAUAUAUUGUUCUAUGUACGGUGUCUUUAAGUUUGCAAAGCUACUAUGAUCCCAUGACCAAUAUUUGAAAUUUCCAACAGGUUGCCUUUACCGAGAGCUCUGCAACUGGGAGCAAAAUUAUGAAAGCUCUGCAACAUGAAUUGAGCUCUGAUGAGCGAGAGUGGAAAUCAGCAGAUGCAAAAGAUGACUUAAGUUUGAGUGUUUGGAGACUUUGAUGUGUUGUUUUG
rnacentral:lncRNA from 1 species